rnacentral:rRNA from 1 species
UACAGAGGGUGCGAGCGUUGUCCGGAAUCACUGGGCGUAAAGGGCGCGUAGGCGGCUUGAUAAGCGUGCGGUGAAAGCCCGGGGCUCACCCCCGGAAGUGCAUUGGAAACUGGUGGACUCGAGUCCCGGAGAGGAGAGUGGAAUUCCUGGUGUAGCGGUGAAAUGCGUAGAUAUCAGGAGGAACACCGGUGGCGAAGGCGGGUCUCUGGGCAACAACUGACGCUGAGGAGCGAAAGCGUGGGGAGCGAACAGG